GGGGAAUAUUGGACAAUGGGCGAAAGCCUGAUCCAGCCAUGCCGCGUGUGUGAAGAAGGUCUUCGGAUUGUAAAGCACUUUAAGUUGGGAGGAAGGGCUGCAAGUUAAUACCUUGUAGUUUUGACGUUACCAACAGAAUAAGCACCGGCUAACUUCGUGCCAGCAGCCGCGGUAAUACGUAGGGUGCGAGCGUUAAUCGGAUUUACUGAGCGUAAAGCGUGCGUAGGCGGCUUUUUAAGUCGGAUGUGAAAUCCCCGAGCUUAACUUGGGAAUUGCAGUCGAUACUGGGAAGCUAGAGUAUGGGAGAGGAUGGUAGAAUUCCAGGUGUAGCGGUGAAAUGCGUAGAGAUCUAGAGGAAUACCGAUGGCGAAGGCAGCCAUCUGGCCUAAUACUGACGCUGAGGUACGAAAGCAUGGGGAGCAAACA
rnacentral:rRNA from 1 species